rnacentral:pre_miRNA from 1 species
AAACCUCCGCAGGCUGGCCAGGCUGGGCUGGGCAGGGUGAGUAUCUCUUCGAAAGGCUCACCCUCCAGCAUGACUAGGAGC